rnacentral:tRNA from 1 species
GGGACCGUAGCUCAGCUUGGAUAGAGCACUAAAAGUGAAAAACACUUGUGUUGGCCUUCUAAGCUAGGGGUCGGGCGUUCAAAUCGCCUCGGUUCCG